AUUGAACGCUGGCGGCAGGCCUAACACAUGCAAGUCGAACGAGUGGCGGACGGGUGAGUAAUGUCUGGGACACUGCCUGAUGGAGGGGGAUAACUACUGGAAACGGUAGCUAAUACAGCAUACCAUCAGAUGUGCCAAGAUGGGAUUAGCUAGUUGGUGGGUUAACGGCUCACCAAGGAGACGAUCCCUAGCUGGUCUGAGAGGGUGACCAGCCACCUGGGAACUGAUGCACGGUCCAAACUCCUACGGGAGGCAGCAGUGGGGAAUAUGGCAAAAUGGGCGCAAGCCUGAUGCAGCCAGGCCGCGUGUAUGAAGAAGGCCUUCGGGUUGUAAAGUACUUUCAGCGGGGAGGCGUUACCCGCAGAAGAAGCACCGGCUAACUCCGUGCCAGCAGCCGCGGUAAUUC
rnacentral:rRNA from 1 species